UACGAAGGGGGCGAGCGUUGUUCGGAAUUACUGGGCGUAAAGGGCGCGCAGGCGGCUCGACAAGUCAGAUGUGAAAGCCCCGGGCUCAACCUGGGAACGGCAUUUGGGACUGUCGGGCUAGAGUUCGGGAGAGGUGGGUGGAAUUCCCAGUGUAGAGGUGAAAUUCGUAGAUAUCUGGAGGAACAUCAGUGGCGAAGGCGACACCCUGGACUCAUACUGACACUGAGGUGCGAAAGCGUGGGGAGCAAACAGG
rnacentral:rRNA from 1 species